rnacentral:rRNA from 1 species
GAUGAACGCUGGCGGCGUGCCUAAUACAUGCAAGUCGAGCGAACAGACGAGGAGCUUGCUCCUCUGACGUUAGCGGCGGACGGGUGAGUAACACGUGGAUAACCUACCUAUAAGACUGGGAUAACUUCGGGAAACCGGAGCUAAUACCGGAUAAUAUAUUGAACCGCAUGGUUCAAUAGUGAAAGACGGUUUUGCUGUCACUUAUAGAUGGAUCCGCGCCGCAUUAGCUAGUUGGUAAGGUAACGGCUUACCAAGGCAACGAUGCGUAGCCGACCUGAGAGGGUGAUCGGCCACACUGGAACUGAGACACGGUCCAGACUCCUACGGGAGGCAGCAGUAGGGAAUCUUCCGCAAUGGGCGAAAGCCUGACGGAGCAACGCCGCGUGAGUGAUGAAGGUCUUCGGAUCGUAAAACUCUGUAUUAGGGAAGAACAAAUGUGUAAGUAACUAUGCACGUCUUGACGGUACCUAAUCAGAAAGCCACGGCUAACUACGUG